UGAGGAAUAUUGGUCAAUGGGCGCGAGCCUGAACCAGCCAAGUCGCGUGAAGGAAGACGGUUCUAUGAAUUGUAAACUUCUUUUUUACAGGAAUAAAGUGAGGGACGUGUCCCUUUUUGUAUGUACUGUACGAAUAAGGAUCGGCUAACUUCGUGCCAGCAGCCGCGGUAAUACGGAGGAUCCAAGCGUUAUCCGGAUUUAUUGGGUUUAAAGGGUGCGUAGGCGGACUUAUAAGUCAGUGGUGAAAGUUUGCAGCUUAACUGUAAAAUUGCCAUUGAAACUGUAGGUCUUGAGUGCAAAUGAGGUAGGCGGAAUGUGUUGUGUAGCGGUGAAAUGCAUAGAUAUAACAUAGAACUCCAAUUGCGAAGGCAGCUUACUGGGAUGCAACUGACGCUGAUGCACGAAAGCGUGGGUAUCAAACA
rnacentral:rRNA from 1 species